AUACGGAGGAUGCAAGCGUUAUCCGGAUUUAUUGGGUUUAAAGGGUGCGUAGGCGGUUUGCUAAGCGGGAGGUGAAAUGCCGGCGCUCAACGUCGGAAGUGCCUCCCGAACUGGUGGACUGGAAUGACUCUGCCGUGGGAGGAAUGUGUAGUGUAGCGGUGAAAUGCUUAGAGAUUACACAGAACACCGAUUGCGAAGGCAUCUCACGAAGGGUUGAUUGACGCUGAGGCACGAAAGCGUGGGGAUCAAACAGGAUUAGAUACCCUGGUAGUCCACGCAGUAAACGAUGAUGGCUAACCGCUGGGCUUAUCAGUUCAGUGGCCAAGCGAAAGCGAUAAGUUAUCCACCUGGGGAGUACGUUCGCAAGAAUGAAACUUAAAGGAAUUGGCGGGG
rnacentral:rRNA from 1 species